GGCUCGGUGGUGUAGUUGGUUAUCACGUCAGUCUAACAUCGCUGUUAGGGUUCACUGAAGGUCCCGAGUUCAAGCCUCGGCUGAGUCA
rnacentral:tRNA from 1 species